rnacentral:rRNA from 1 species
UACGGGGGGAGCAAGCGUUGUUCGGAUUUACUGGGCGUAAAGGGCGCGUAGGCGGUCAGCACAAGUCAGUUGUGAAAUCUCCGGGCUUAACUCGGAAAGGUCAACUGAUACUGUGCGACUAGAGUGCAGAAGGGGCAACUGGAAUUCUCGGUGUAGCGGUGAAAUGCGUAGAUAUCGAGAGGAACACCUGCGGCGAAGGCGGGUUGCUGGGCUGACACUGACGCUGAGGCACGAAAGCUGGGGGAGCGAACAGG